rnacentral:rRNA from 1 species
GCUCCUUUGACGUUAGCGGCGGACGGGUGAGUAACACGUGGGUAACCUACCUAUAAGACUGGAAUAACUCCGGGAAACCGGGGCUAAUGCCGGAUAACAUUUAGAACCGCAUGGUUCUAAAGUGAAAGAUGGUUUUGCUAUCACUUAUAGAUGGACCCGCGCCGUAUUAGCUAGUUGGUAAGGUAAUGGCUUACCAAGGCAACGAUACGUAGCCGACCUGAGAGGGUGAUCGGCCACACUGGAACUGAGACACGGUCCAGACUCCUACGGGAGGCAGCAGUAGGGAAUCUUCCGCAAUGGGCGAAAGCCUGACGGAGCAACGCCGCGUGAGUGAUGAAGGGUUUCGGCUCGUAAAACUCUGUUAUUAGGGAAGAACAAACGUGUAAGUAACUGUGCACGUCUUGACGGUACCUAAUCAGAAAGCCACGGCUAACUACGUGCCAGCAGCCGCGGUAAUACGUAGGUGGCAAGCGUUAUCCGGAAUUAUUGGGCGUAAAGCGCGCGUAGGCGGUUUCUUAAGUCUGAUGUGAAAGCCCACGGCUCAACCGUGGAGGGUCAUUGGAAACUGGGAGACUUGAGUGCAGAAGAGGAAAGUGGAAUUCCAUGUGUAGCGGUGAAAUGCGCAGAGA